UUUAACGGUGUUAUUUAUCGCGAUAAUAUUUCAAAAUGAGUAUAUUUAACGGAUAUAUUUUUAAUAGAUAAUUUUUUAAUUUAUAUAUUUGAAUUGAGUGAAGCAUUUUUUGGAUAUAUUCGCAGCAACAUCAAUAAAAUGAACACAACAAAAAUAUAUCAACAUUUGUACUCUAUUCCUAUUUCCUUUUCUCUACUCAGGCAGCACAGUCAUGAACAUACUGCUACUACUCUUUCUGUAGAGGAAGCAUGUGGCUAGCAGGCGCGGUGGCGGGUGAGCUGGCGAGGGGCGGCGGCGGGUGUGUGGCCGAGGGUUGGCAGCGGCCGGGCGGGCGAAGGGCAGCUGGCGAGGGGCGGCCGCGGGCGUGCGGCGGAGGGUCGGCGGCGGUGGGUGUGUGGCUGAGGGUCGGCGGCGGCCAGGCGGAUGGGCGAGGGGCGGCGGCGGACAACCGGACGAGGGCGCGGAUGGGCGGGGAGGAGGCAGACGGCGGGAGGAGAAGCUCGAGGGCACUGCUGCGGGUGUUCGACGGUGGGAGGAGAACCUGGGCGCGGGUGGCUGACGACGGGAGCUCGUGCUAUCGCGAAACCUCCAGAUCUGGAGAUAUCAAAAGUCAGGAGGAUAAAGUGAAGAUGCUGCUUGCUGGCAACUCUGGAUUACCAGGAAUCGGCUAAUAUAAACCGUGGAAGAAGGCUCGGCUGCUGGGUGCUUCCACGUCAGAAUGAAACAGUAUGGGAUUUACUGUUUUCUUCCCUUUCAGUUGCAAUUGGUUUAGAGGAGGGGAAGUGUUUACACCUAAAUUUGGCACCUAGAAGUAAAAUAGGAAAUAUUGCCAAAGUUUAGAAGUAUGUCGGUUUCCUCCGAGUAGGCUGGUCUAACCGCCGUGUGUUGGCAGGUCAGACCGCCGGUUGAGGGCCGGUCAGACCGGCGGCAUGUGGCCGGUCUGACCAGCAGGUCCGAGUCUGAGUGUGUUUCACCGGGUCUCGAAGUUUCCUUGCUCGGGAAGGAAUGUUUCAGGUUUCCUUUGGAUUCUAUCCCGAGUUGGACGUGGAUGAGGGUUUGUAGAGGGCAAGACCAACCCCUAUAUAAGGGACAUGCCGGUUCAAUUGUAACUAAUCAAUCUACAAUCAAUCAAUUGAAUCGUUUUUCAUAUUGCUUUUAGUUUUCUCUUAGUUUGUCCAUCUCUGUUGAUUUGCGCCGUAAAUCAUCCGCCGCCGCUGUGAGAGUGCGACACUUCUUUGUAGGUUUGUCCUGAAAACCUUCCGUUUUACCCACGAGACGGGUAGUUAUCUAGGAAUCGGCUCCGCUAGCCGGUUUAGUUAUCAAAACCUAUCUUGGUAUAGCUUUUGCUAGAUCGAAGUGAUUGGCGACUCUAGAAUCACCGCAAGGCGUUUAGGUGUUGUGAUCGUGCUUGUCAACUUGUCAUAGAAAGUUGCCAACAGGAAGCUUACGUGAUAAGAAAUACGAUCUGCUAAUUCUAGAAUUCUACGCAACUUUUCAUCCGAGGCAUCGCUACUCACUCCGCUUUUCUGGUCUCUCUUCACGCGGCGCUCCGAUCCUCCUGUCCUCUCACCGCCGCCACCACCUGCUUUGGCUUGGUCAGUGAUGAUGAUGGGGAGCUCCGGCGCCGGAUCAAGCACCGUCUGUGAGCGAUCCCUGUAUUGAUCCCUGUAUUAAUUCUUUUAUGUUCUAGGGUUGUGCGGUCUAACCCGGUUCUUGGUCCGACCUCCUUCUGCUGCGCUUCUUCGCCCGAUCUGGUUUCGCCUGUUGUUGAUGCAAGGAAUAUUGAUUUGAUCAAGCGUGGUACUUUCUUAGCGCUCGAUAUUCAUGAUCUAGGGAUGGCAAUUGUGCCCGUUUACCCGUUUGUAGAAACCCCAUUAAGAUUGGGUAUGUUCUUGGGUAUUUUGUUGGGUCAAAUGCUAUACCCGAUGGGUAAACAGGCAUGUGCAUAGGCAAAUACUACUCAUUACCCACUUUGUCCGUUUACCCGCUAACUAAUCUGUCAUGUGGGGUCAUGAGUUAAUAUUAUCCUCAUCAAUUUAUAACACAUCCUUGCGUUACUAUGAUCUUAUAGUAGGGUCAUGAGAAUUCUCUAUAGCCAUCGGGGAGGAUGCCAGAGACCAUCCCCAAAUCCAAUCUCUCCUUACUCCCUUCCUAUUCGCUCGAUGAGAAAAUGGAUCAUAUGCCACUAUAUAUGUGGGGUUUCGUGAAAUGCAACUCAAUAAAAUAUAAUGAAUAAAAUACCACUUAGUAUGUUGCCUACCAGAUAAAAUGCCACUUUGAGUUCUAACCAUUUUAUGACCAAAAUACCCCUGACUAUAGAGAAGGGGGAGCGCCAGGGAGGGCCGGCCGGGUAGCAAUGGAGGCCUCACUGGGUUGAUAUUAGUGAUAUACCCUAUAGGCAAUCAUAGAGAUGAUUGUAUCAUCGACUUUGUUCCUUGAAAUAGAUAACUCAUUAUUGGUUAA